rnacentral:tRNA from 1 species
GGAGAGGUGGCCGAGAGGCCGAAGGCGCUCGCCUGCUAAGCGAGUGUACGGCUUAAAACUGUACCGAGGGUUCGAAUCCCUCCCUCUCCGCCA